AAAAUCCACGUAUGAAAGAAGCUCCAAAUUGCAAAAUGAUAAAUUUUAUUGGUUUAAUAUUAUGAAGGGAAUCGGCUUAAACAUGUAUACAUGGCCCAUCAACAACUUAUUUUGGCAAGCAUUUGGAAUAAAAGUGGGAGCCACCUUUCUUGGCUGGAACGUGACUUUGAAUUAUGGGAGAAAGCAACCAUUAAUUUGGAGGAAAUCACACGGAACAUGUUUAACCUAUGGGGUCCAUUAACCACUUAGUAAAUCAUUUUUUCAUUUGAAAUGGAGAUGGUGUGCACGAUUUUCUUUUGUUCCAGAUGCAUUUUUGGUGAUUGAGGAAUAAAGAAUAGAAUAUUAAUUUAUAUUGCACAAGCAACAAAAACUCAAUUGGAAGUGGUAGGGUGCAUUUGUUUAGGCUCCACAUUCAGCCUUCACACGUUCCAUCAUCAAAUCAGCUUCCACCCAUCAAACUUGAAGAAAGGAAGCACAAGGAAAUUCUUCACGCCCAGCAGUUGGAGAAGAAGACAUCCAGGGAAGCAUCCAGCAGCAGCUGGUCCAGCAAGCACACGUCCAAGAGAUGCAGGACGUGAAACAUCCAGCACCUUCACUAUCCAGCUUGCACAUGGUUCAGCAAUCAUAAGCCUGUACAAUUCCACUAAGCUCCAUUCAACGUCCAACAAGCUAAGAGAAGAUGCUGGGAUGAAGCUGGACAUACUCCAGCAAAAGAAACAUGACAGUUUGGACAGCAGAGCGUAGCACAUAAUUUGAAGAGGCCACCACUCACGGUUUGGCAAGAAACUCACGUCCACAUGUGAGGAGUUCCAAAAUGAAGUGCUGAGUUUUAGUAAAUUGGUGGAAGUGAUGUCACGGCAAAAGAGUAUCAUGGCUGGAAGGAAACUCACGACGCUGCAAACGUCCAGCAAGAAGACGAGGGCACACCUACACGGUCCAGCUUAGAUGGAAAGAAAGGAAGCAAACGGUGAAGAAGAGGGUUGUCUCGGUUGGAAGGAAAGCACUACACGCUGCACGUCUGGAGAGACAGUCCCUAGGAGAACCCAUUGUUUCUUCAAUGAUGGAUCCAGCAGAGAGUGGAACCCACGGAUUGAGGGUGAUGGAAGUUGAUUUCUUUUCCUCUUGCAUUCAAUUAUUUAGAAAAAGUUCAUAUGGCCCAUUGCUAACAAAGGAGAGCAGCCACCACCGAAUGAGACUCACGGGCUGAGUGAGACAAAAUCCAAAUGCUAGAUUGAAGGAGAAUAUUAUUAGUGAAAAGGGCAAAACUGAGAAUUCAGAGAGUGGAGGGGUAAAACAGAGAAAACACACUCUUUCAGUGUUUGAUUAAAACACCCGUGUUCAUAGCAAGAGAGAGAAAACGUGUAAGAGAGUUUUCUAGAAAGAGAGAGAUCAGAUAAUGAAAGUGGAGGAGCUCAGCUAGGGCACACAAACACCAAAGGUGAAGAUGAUGAUCAGAGAGUAGAGAGAAAAACGGAAAGCAUGCACACACACAAGGUACUGAAUAACAUCUAAACUGUAUUUCUGUUUCAACUUUGCUUUUAUACUGUUCUGAUACAUUGAAUCUGAACUGUUUUUGUUUAUUCUAACACUCCUCCUAAACAAAAACGUUUAAUCGAACAAAAACUAGAUUUUAUUGAAGAAAAACACUUGUUUCACCGAUUCAAUCGGUGAAAAUUCUUCUCCUGUGAUUCUGAGCCUUUUGGACCGAUUAAAAUCGGUAUAAACACUCUCUCUGUAGUAUGAGAGCACUUUUCACCGAUUAAACUCGGAGAAAGCUCUUCCUAGGAUGAUCUCCUCCUCUCCGGCGGAAACCCUAGGUUUUCGCCGUCCUUCUGGUGCGAUCUUCACUGAUCUCAGCUCGCACCAUCCCAAUCUGCUUUCUGAGUGACUGAAAACGCUCACUUUUGAGUGCUUUGGUGAGUAUAUCUGCUAGUUGGUCUUCGGAUCUGCAGUGUACUACAUCCAGUCUACCACUACUGACUUGUUCUCUGAUGUAGUGAAAUCGGGUCUCGAUAUGCUUGCUCCUGCCGUGAGAUGCAGGGUGUUUAGCAAGGUCUAUGGCUGACUUGUUGUCAACAAGCAGCCUCACUCUUCCAGUUAGCUCGAUUUUCAACCCUUCCAAUAGGAAUCCCAGCCAAGUUGCUUGACAAGUAGCUUCACAGGCAGCUAUGUAUUCUGCCUCACAUGAUGACAAGGCAACCACUGGUUCCUUUCUUGAACUCCAUGAAAUUGGUGUUCCUCCCAUGAAGAAGAUGUAACCAGCAGUACUCUUCCUAUCUUCCUUAUCACCACACCAGUCUGCAUCUGAGUAAGAAGUGAUUUGCACUUCUUCCCCAGUCUCUCCUCUUCCCAACAGUAUUCCAUAAGAGUGAGUGCCCUGCAAGUAUCUUAGAAUGCGUUUGACAGCAUUCAAGUGUGACAAUCUGGGGCAUUCCAUAUAUCUACUCACCACUCCAACACUGUAACUCAAGUCAGGCCUUGUGUUACAGAGGUAUCUCAAACUUCCAACAAUACUUCUGUAAGCUGUUGGAUCUACAGCUUCUUCAUUUGGCUCCUUCUCAAGUCUCAACCCCAGUUCUGCUGGGGUGUUGGCAGCAUUGCAGUCAACCAUUUCAAACCUUUUUAGUAAGUCUAGAACAUAUCUGGACUGAUGCAUCACAAUUCCACUUUCAGUCUCAGUAAAUUCUAUCCCAAGGAAAUAGCUGAGCUUUCCCAAGUCACUCAUCUCAAACUCACUUAGCAUUUGAAGUUUGAAAUCUGAAAUCAACUCCUCACAGCUCCCAGUAACUAAUAGGUCAUCAACAUAUAGGCAUACAAUUAACUUCUCCUGUCUGCCACUGUGUUGGCAGCUCUUCACAUACAACCCGUGUUCUGAUACACACUUCUCAAAGCCAAUACUGCUCAUGAACCCAUCAAUUCUCUGGUUCCAAGCUCUUGGAGCCUGUUUAAGCCCAUAGAGAGCCUUUCUCAGCCUGUACACCUUGUCAUGCUGCCCUUUAACCUCAAAUCCCAGUGGCUGUACAACGUACACUUCCUCUUCCAGCCUUCCAUUUAGAAAGGCUGACUUCACAUCCAACUGGUGUAGGGACCAGUGAAAUUUAGUAGCUAGAGACACCACCAACCUGAUUGUCUCUACCCUGGCCACAGGAGCAAAAACUUCACCAUAAUCAACUCCAGCCUUUUGUAGAAAACCCUUAGCAACCAGCCUUGCCUUGUGCCUUACAACAACACCUUGUGGGUUUAUUUUUGACUUAUAAACCCACUUUAAUGCUAUGGGCCUCUUAUUAGAGGGCAGAUCAACCAACUCCCAGGUCUGAUUUCUCUCUAUAGAGUCAAUCUCUUCCUGCAUUGCCUUAUACCACCUUUCAUCCUUCACUGCAUCAUCAAAUUCAACUGGUUCUGCUUCUGCUAUUAAAGCAAAGUGAACAAAGUUACCUUCUGAUGUGAGUGUUGCCUCAUAGGAUAAGUCAUAGUCUCUUAGAUGUGCUGGCAGUUGUGAAACUCUUGAUGACCUUCUCCUGCUGUCAUCUCUUCUCUCCCCUGUCUCCACUGUUUCCACUGUUUCCUCUCCAGCAGUGACAUCUUCCAGAUUAAUGGUUGAUGCUUCCUGCUCACUUGUCUCCCACUGCCAUACUCCAGCUUCAUCCACUACAACAUCUCUACUGAUGCAAACUGCUCCUCCUAUAGGAUUAUACAGUUUGUAACCUCCAGUGGCAUUGUACCCAACCAAAAUCAGUGGCACUCCCUUGUCAUCCAGCUUCUUUCUCAACUGGUCAGGUAUAUGCUUGUAGCAUAUAGAUCCAAAAAUUUUCAGAUGCUUAACAUCUGGUUUCACCCCUGUCCAAGCUUCCUCGGGUGUCAAGCCAUUUAAUCUCUUUGUUGGAGACAGAUUAAGGACAUAUGUGGCUGUUAACACAGCCUCUCCCCACAGAAAAUUAGGCAACUUUUUACUCUUCAGCAUGCACCUAACCAUAUUUAAUAUGGUUCUGUUUUUCCUCUCUGCUGCACCAUUGUGCUGUGGUGUAUAAGGAGGGGUAACUUCAUGCACUAUCCCUUCCUUUUCACACAACUCUUUAAACUCAGUGGAGGUAUACUCUCCUCCUCCAUCUGUCCUCAACACCUUAAUCUUCUUCUCACACUGCCUCUCAACAAGAGAUUUAAAUUUCACAAAUGUCUGCAGCACCUCCCCCUUUCUCCUAAUCAAAUAGACCCAACAUUUCCUGUCCAGUCAUCAAUAAAAAGUAGAAAAUACCUGCUGCCUCCAGGUGUUUCUACUUGGAUAGGGCCACACACAUCUGAAUAUACCACUCCUAAUUUUUCUGUUGACUUCUGGGGUAGGAUUUUCUGAAAACUGCCCCUGGUCUGCUUACAUUGGACACACUCCUUGCACACUGUUUCAGGAAUUUCCACUGUAGGCAAGCCACUCACCAUAUUUUUCUGGCUUAACAGUGACAAAUCUCUGAAAUUUAGGUGUCCAAAUCUGAGAUGCCAUAGCCAUUCUUCUCUGUUUUCUGUUGCAGUAAAACAGUGGUGUUUUACUGCACUCAUUACCACCCGAAAAGUCCUGUUUUGUGACAGCUGAGCUUGCACAACCAUCUUCUUAUGCUGAUUGAAAAUGCUGAGACAAUUAUUCUCCAUUUUCAUCACAUAUCCCUUCUGUAACAGCUGUCCCAAGCUUAGCAGAUUUGUUUUCAGCCCUGGUACAUACAGUACCUCUUCAAUUAUCACUUCUUUCCCUCCUGCAUCUCUCAGAACAACUCUCCCAGAUCCUUCUGCAGUCAAACUUCUGUCAUCUGCAAACCGGAUCUUCCCUUGUGAAGCUCCUUGCAUUUUCACAAACCAAUCCUUCCUCCCUGUCAUAUGGGUAGAGCAGCCAGAAUCCAAGUACCAUGUUGUGCUCUCUGGCUGCUCCUCUCCUGUGUUGGCCAUCAACAUCACAGCCUCUGAAUCUGACUCCUCCUCUUGGGCCAGAUUAGCCCUCUUCUUGGGUUUGUUUUUAGCACCUUCCCCUUUCCAGCACUCUUUUGCAUAAUGCCCAAGUUUUUGGCAAUUAUAGCAUUUCACUUUCUUCUUGUCAAACUUCCAAUCUCCACCAGAUUUCUGGUUUUUCACUGGUGCAGAUUCACUGGAAUCUUCACCUUGCUGUUCUUGUGAAUCUUUACCUUUCUUGCUGCCCUUAUUCCACUUCUUGAACCCCUUUUUCCCUUUAAACUGAGAUCUGGCCUGUAGGGCCUGUUCUUGGCACUGCUUGCGCUCAUUGAUGCGAUACUCAUGAGCUUCUAAUGAGUGCAGCAGCUCCUCAAUCUCCAUAGACUCCAGAUUACGGGCUUCUUCAAUAGCCACUACCACAUGAUCAAAUCUGGGGGUUAGAGUUCUUAGGAUCUUGUCAACAAUGUACUCAUCCGAAAUUGUAUCCUUGCAUGCUCUCAUUUUAUUCACCAGUUCUUGGACUUUGUCAAAGUAUUCUGCCACAGUUUCACCCUCAUCCAUGAUCAGAAUCUCAAACUGCCUCCUUAGGGCCUGUAAUUUCACUUUCUUGUUUUUAUCUCCAUCACCAUACAUCUUCACAAGAAUAUCCCACACUUCCUUAGCAGUAGAAGCCUUAGAAAUCUUGUUAAAGAUUUUUGGGCUGACACAUUGGUACAGCAAGAAUCUGGCCUUGCUGUCCAAUUUCACCUGCAGUUUAUAACUUCUUUUCUCCUCUUUAGUAGCUCUUUCACUCAAAUCUGGUAACCCAUCUUCUAUAACUUCUGACACAUCUUGAAAACCAAAGAUGGCUUGCAUCUUGAUGCGCCAGUCAUCAAAUAGUUUCCCAUCAAAUACAGGCAGUUGCCCCUGUAUUCCUCCAAUACCUGCCAUCACUUUCUUGCUAGCUUCUUGAUAUUACCCACACACAAAGGAACCUCCUUUCUCCACUUCCAGUCACACACACACCCAUUGUACACACCAGAACCCACAAGAACCUAUGCUCUUGAUACCAUAUUAGUGAAAAGGGCAAAACAGAGAAUUCAGAGAGUGGAGGGGUAAAACAGAGAAAACACACUCUUUCAGUGUUUGAUUAAAACACCCGUGUUCAUAGCAAGAGAGAGAAAACGUGUAAGAGAGUUUUCUAGAAAGAGAGAGAUCAGAGAAUGAAAGUGGAGGAGCUCAGCUAGGGCACACAAACACCAAAGGUGAAGAUGAUGAUCAGAGAGUAGAGAGAAAAACGGAAAGCAUGCACACACACAAGAGAAGUGGCUAUAAAAUGGAGCAGCAGCAACUCAUCAGAAUUCAUCAGAUUUUAGGAGUAGAGUUAGGAGUGCAAAGUUUACGUUCUUGCUUCCUCCUCCCCUCUGGGGAGGUUUUGUGCUUGUUUUAAUUUUCAGUUUCAAGGAUUGAAUUUCAAUUGUAAUUUCCAUUUUGCAUUUCUCAAUUGAUGUUGUUGAAUUUUAUUUUCAUCUACGUAUUACAGUUCAUUUACAA